AAGCCCACCCAUCAAAUCCUAGACCUACUAAAAAUUCAUAAAGCCUCUCGCUCUCUCUCUCUCUCUCUCCUGUAUUCUUCUUCAGCUCAUCGAGCUGGGAUUUGAACGCUCUCCGCCCAGGCAGCUGUCGAAAACCCUAAUCCAUAUGGAGUGAUUGGAAAUCCUAAUUUAUUCCUCUAUCACUUUCUGAUCUGGUGUUCUGCGAUACUAGGGCGAAGUCCCUGCUCGCUUCCGCCAUUGGAGCUCGCAAAGUCGGCCGGCUGGGUCUCCUGUCGCGUGGGAAAUGGAAGGGAGUGGGGGGACCUACAAUUCGCGCACGGCAGAGGAGGUUUUUCGGGAUUUUAGAGGCAGGCGAGCCGGCAUGAUUAAGGCUCUCACCACUGAGGUUGACAAGUUCUAUCAGCUCUGUGAUCCCGAAAAGGAGAACUUGUGUCUUUAUGGACUUCCCAAUGAGACCUGGGAAGUAAAUUUGCCUGCUGAAGAAGUACCUCCAGAGCUUCCUGAGCCAGCACUAGGAAUUAAUUUUGCCAGGGAUGGGAUGGAUGAAAAGGAUUGGCUGUCGCUGGUUGCAGUUCACAGUGAUGCAUGGUUGCUGGCUGUUGCAUUUUAUUUUGGGGCUCGCUUUGGGUUUGACAAGGAGGCCAGGAGGCGGCUUUUUAACAUGAUCAAUAAUCUCCCAACUAUAUAUGAGGUUGUGACUGGAACUGCAAAGAAGCAAUCGAAAGAAAAAACCCCUAACAGCAGCACCAAGAGCAACAAAUCAAGCUCAAAGAUGUCACGACAGGCAGAGUCAAAGCCAUCAAAGAUGCCUGCACCAAAAGAGGAAGGGAGUGGAGAGGAGGAUGAGGAAGAGGAGGACGAAGAGCAUGGAAACACUUUAUGCGGUGCAUGCGGAGAUAACUAUGCGAACGAUGAGUUCUGGAUAUGCUGCGAUGUGUGUGAGCGAUGGUUCCAUGGAAGGUGUGUCAGGAUCACACCUGCUAGGGCUGAGCACAUCAAACAGUACAAAUGCCCGGCCUGCAGCAACAAAAGGGCUAGAGCAUGAAAGUGAACUGUUAUGGCUGAUGUAUUAGAAUAGGGCUUCGGAAACAGUGGGGAAAACCAUUUUGGAUGCAACAAUCAAUGGACCUGCACGCCCAAGUCAGGCUUCCAGGUUUUAGACUUAGUGUAAUUAAUUUCGUUUUCAGUAUGUUACUGUUAACUACUUGUGUCUCUCUACAUAGAGUUCAUUUGUCAUGAGUAAUCCCUUAUGUGCUAGGCAUGUCUUUUCUGAUAGAUUGCUUCGUUUGGCGGACAUUUCUACAUUUUUAGAAGAAACUUAAUUAGGUGCAAGUUAAUGGUGUUCUGCUGGAUAAAUCGUCUUCAGCCAUAUUAUGGCUCAUUACUGCUGGUCGAAUGGGUUCAAACAGGACUUCAUCCAGCUAUUUGAUUUUCAGUGCUUUUCUGUGCUGCUGGGCAGCUGAUCUGAGCCUACUAAUGCCAUUGUGCUUAAUGUUUUGCCAAAUACGUACAAUUCUAAAAGCAGGCCUGAGCUAUCCAGAUGACCUGACAUUUUGUGAUUCAACCUUUGUAUCCCCUUUUUUCGUGGAAAGGAGAUUCAACUUGCUUUUGAUUUUGUCUAAGCAAGCCUGCUGAUUUUGGUUAUGUAAUAAUUUGCUUUCAAAUAUGAAGGUUUGAUA